UGAAUACGAGAUACUACGGUGUCGAAGCAGUCUAUGUCAUCCUUCCAAGAAAAGCUUGCACUGUCAUAAACAAAUAAUGCCUGUACCAUAACCGACACAGGUGGGUAGGUAGAGUAUACUAAGGGGCGCGAGAUAACUCUCUCUAAGGAACUCGGCAAAAUGACUCCGUAACUUCGGGAGAAGGAGUGCCUUAUAUUUAUAAGGUUGCAAUAACAAGAUCCAAGCAACUGUUUAUCAAAAACACAGGUCUCCGCUAAGUCGUAAGACGAUGUAUGGGGGCUGACGCCUGCCCAGUGCCAGAAGGUUAAAGAAGUUGGUUAGCUUUUGCGAAGCUGAUAACUGAAGCCCUGGUGAACGGCGGCCGUAACAAUAACGGUCCUAAGGUAGCGAAAUUCCUUGUCGGGUAAGUUCCGACCCGCACGAAAGGCGUAAUGAUUUGGAUACUGUCUCGGAGAGGGACUCGGUGAAAUAGACUUGUCUGUGAAGAUGCGGACUACUUGCACCAGGACAGAAAGACCCUAUGAAGCUUUACUGUAACCUGGAAUUGAAAUUGGACUUUACUUGCGCAGGAUAGGUGGGAGGCUUUGAGAAUAUUCUUGCGGGAAUAUUGGAGCCAUCAGUGAGAUACCACUCUGGUAAUGUUAGAUUUCUAACUUUGUAUCAUUAUCUGGUCAAAGAACAGUUUCAGGCGGGCAGUUUGACUGGGGCGGUCGCCUCCUAAACGGUAACGGAGGCGCACAAAGGUUUCCUCUGAACGGGUAGAAAUCGUAUCUAGAGUGUAAAGGCAUAAGGAAGCUUGACUGUGAGACCUGCAAGUCGAGCAGGGACGAAAGUCGGUCUUAGUGAUCUGACGGUGCUGAGUGGAAAGGCCGUCACUCAACGGAUAAAAGUUACUCUAGGAUAACAGGCUGAUCUCCCCCAAGAGUUCACAUCGACGGGGAGGUUUGGCACCUCGAUGUCGGCUCAUCGCAUCCUGGGGCGGUAGUACGUCCCAAGGGUUGGGCUGUUCGCCCAUGAAAGCGGUACGCGAGCUGGGUUCAGAACGUCGUGAGACAGUUCGGUCCAUAUCCGGUGUAAGCGUUAGAAUAUUGAGAGGAGCCUUCUUUAGUACGAGAGGACCGGGAAGGAUGCACCGCUGGUGUACCAGUUAUUGUGCCAACAGUAAACGCUGGGUAGCUAUGUGUGGAGUGGAUAACCGCUGAAAGCAUCUAAGUGGGAAGCCCACCUCAAGAUAAGUAUUCU
rnacentral:rRNA from 1 species